rnacentral:rRNA from 1 species
AGAACGAACGCUGGCGGCAGGCUUAACACAUGCAAGUCGAACGCUCCUAGCAAUAGGGGAGUGGCAGACGGGUGAGUAACGCGUGGGAACAUACCCUCCGGUUCGGAAUAACUCAGGGAAACUUGAGCUAAUACCGGAUACGGCCUUUAGUCGAAGGAUUGGCGGCGAAAGAUUUAUCGCCGGAGGAUUGGCCCGCGUCCGAUUAGCUAGUUGGUGUGGUAAUGGCGCACCAAGGCGACGAUCGGUAGCUGGUCUGAGAGGAUGAUCAGCCACAUUGGGACUGAGACACGGCCCAAACUCCUACGGGAGGCAGCAGUGGGGAAUAUUGGACAAUGGGCGCAAGCCUGAUCCAGCCAUGCCGCGUGAGUGAUGACGGCCUUAGGGUUGUAAAGCUCUUUCGCUCGGGACGAUAAUGACGGUACCGAGAUAAGAGCCCGGCUAACUUCGUGCCAGCAGCCGC